GAUACGUUCACCGUCGCUACAACAACUUGCUUGUAUUUCAAGAAUCGUAUACGAUAUAAUUCAACAGGAAACUUUAUUGAAGGAAGCUGCCUGAUGUAGUGAUUUAGUUAUUAUGUUUAAAUAAAUUGCGUGUUUUCUCAACAAUAAUUUUUAAUCCAACAACAAUAGAUGUGAAAGUGGCAUGAGAAUAAGUCUGCAUAAUCUGAAUAAGAAUGCAAUCAAAAGCAAUCAAAAACACAAAAAAAAUCUCGAACGGAUAAAGUUCUUUGCAAUUAGAAAAUGAUCACAUUCUCUCGGAAGUACCCAAUGGAUCCCCUGAAAAGUGGAGUUUUUUUUGCAUAGCAGGAUAUGCAUACUUUACUAUAAAUAAAAGCCGUUGAAACCGAAUGACGAGGAAGUCUGCAUAUCUAUUCUGUUAAAUAAGUACAGUAAGAACUAAUGUAAAUAUAUAUUGAAUUUCCAAUAUCUGUUUUUCGUUGCCUUCUCUCAUUUUAUUACCCUGUGAAACAUAAGGAGUCUUACCAUUGUCGCUUACAGUAACGGGAGCCGGUAAAUGCUGGUUGUUUUCAAAGUGUCGUGUCUCGUGUUCACUACCGACAAUAGUUCAACGUUUGGUUAUCACGAAAGAUUCGAGACUCGAUUGUUCAUCACUGAUUGAACUACUAAAAGGGAUUCACAAAACUCACGUAGCUCUCAGACAUCAGUAUUGACCCUUAUAUACUCCUGUUCCGUUCGGCUGUUUCUAACAAGCAGGUGCUUGUCAACAAACUUGUCAUGCCAUCUGUAUCGAGCAGCCUACAUGGAGCUGCGCUACGGCUGAUACUCAGCAAUGCCACCAAACGUAACCCGUUGUCUUCAGCGGCACUUCAAGAGCUUGAAAAAGGUUUGAAACUCACUCGGUCUCCUGAAGUUCGGGCGGUCGUCAUUUCUUCUGAGGGGCCAGUUUUCAGUGCCGGACAUGACCUUCACGAACUUAAAUCGUUAUCUGCAGUGCAGCAAUACGAACUGUUUUCGCGUUUUGGAAAGUUGAUGGUGUCACUUCGCAAUCUCGAAGUUCCUGUUAUCGCCUCGGUAACCGGUUUGGCGGCAGCAGCUGGAUGCCAAUUAGUUGCUGCAUGUGAUAUGGCGAUUGCUGGGCCGCAGGCACGAUUCUCAUUGCCAGGUGCUUCAGUGGGCCUGUUUUGUUCUGCACCGUCUGUACCUGUAGUGCGCAACAUCAAUGCCAAGACUGCCGCGUACAUGUUGUAUUCGGCAAGACCCAUAGAUGCUCAACAAGCAUUGGCCUGCGGCCUUGUGUCGCAUUGCGCCGAAUCUGACCAACAAUUAGAAAAGCUUGUGACGCAACUUGUGAAGGAUAUUGUAGACAAACCCCGGGAUGUGAUAACGUUAGGAAAACGUUUCCUUAAUGAUCAAAGAGCAAUAAAAGCCGAGGAAGAUCGCUAUGAAUUGGCAGCAAGAAUAAUGACAGAUAAUCUGCAAUUGGAUAACGGUCGUGAGGGACUGGAAGCAUUUGUGGAUAAAAGACAUCCCCUAUGGAAAUAGAAAACAUUCAUCAGCGCAUUGGAAAAGCUUCUGAGAGUGCAAAUAACUACAACUUAACGACCGCAAAAUUGAAGAAGAAAGGUUUGACUCGAAUUUACCCCUCUUUGGCUCUGGCAUCGCCCAACUUUGCAUAGAAGUCCGUCACCUUCCAUAGCAUCGUGCC